ensembl:snoRNA W01A11.21 ncRNA
AAAAAAUACAAAUAAUUCUCACACGAUUCAAUCUGAUAAGUUCCAAACGGCGGCACUGUGUCGCCUUUUUUUCACCUGAAAAAAGUAGAUCAUC